AGCAACCACAAGUGUAAAGCAACAGUGCAGUGACUUUGUCAUGACACGAAGCAUACAAUGUCGGGAUAUGAUCGAAGAUGUACAAAAACAAAUGUCUGGUCUAAGUAUUCAAGACGGUAAAAAUUCAAGCGCGUACAACUACUCUUCAACUAGACCGUCACAACAACCAUCUUCCCAGUCCGAACCACCCACCAACCAACCCCACCCGCAAACACCCUACUAUCACCCAACCGCCACCACCUUACUGUAAUGGGUCUCCGUCUCCAUACCCGCCCCAUCAAGGCCAACAGCCGCCACCCGUUGGUGGCUAUGAGUACGGGCAUUAACAGCUAAUUUGUCCAUCAGAAAGAGAAGUAAUGGUGUUUGGGAGCUUCAAACAACCAGGAACCCUGUUACCCAAAGCUCCAAAAGGAUGUGGUUGGCGUACUGCGCUGUUGUUCGAUGAGCUCGGGGAACUUUUACAAAAUGGAGCCUUGAGGAUUGCUGCUGUAGUGCAGCUUAUAUGAGUUAGAUAUUGUAUCAAUAUAUAUAAUCAUUGAUGAAGUAGCAUCUAGAGAUUCCAGUAUUGGAAUAAGAAAUUAUUACAAGUAACUUGACAAUUUUACCCCCUAGAUGCUGGAAAAUUGGCUUAUGAGUAAGUUGACUGUUUGUACUAAAGUCCUUUACAUUUUAAAGCAUGUAUAGUUGCACUUGUGUUUAGAAUCAGAUGUUAUUUAAUCCA